GAUGAACGCUGGCGGCGUGCCUAACACAUGCAAGUCGAGCGAUUCUCUUCGGAGAAGAGCGGCGGACGGGUGAGUAACGCGUGGGUAACCUGCCUCAUACACAUGGAUAACAUACCGAAAGGUAUGCUAAUACAAGAUGAUAUAAGAGACUCGCAUGAAUUUCUUAUCAAAGCUCCGGCGGUAUGAGAUGAACCCGCGUCUGAUUAGCUAGUUGGUAAGGUAACGGCUUACCAAGGCGACGAUCAGUAGCCGACCUGAGAGGGUGAUCGGCCACAUUGGAACUGAAACACGGUCCAAACUCCUACGGGAGGCAGCAGUGGGGAAUAUUGCACAAUGGGCGAAAGCCUGAUGCAGCAACGCCGCGUGAGCGAUGAAGGCCUUCGGGUCGUAAAGCUCUGUCCUCAAGGAAGAUAAUGACGGUACUUGAGGAGGAAGCCCCGGCUAACUACGUGCCAGCCGCCGCAGUAAAAC
rnacentral:rRNA from 1 species